AGUCACCUGGAAUGCAUUUCAAUUAACAGGUGUGCCUUGCUAAAAGUUAAUUUGUGGAACUUCUUAAUGCGUUUGAGCCGAUCAGUUGUUUUGUGACAAGGUAGGGGUGGUAUACACAAGAUAUUUGGUAAAAGACCAAGUCCAUAUGAGGGCAAGAACAGCUCAAACAAGCAAAGAGAAGCAACAGUCCAUCACUACGUUAAGACAUGAAGGUCAGUCAAUCCGGAAUAUUUCAAGAACUUUUAACGUUUUUCUUUGAGUACGCGUGUCCAAACUUUUGACUGGUACUGUAUGUUUCCAAGAUGUAUUUUUAGAAACAAUACAAAACAUACAAAUGACUACAUCAUACAAACAUCACUACACCCCUCCUGCCCACUAGCCCCACCCCUAUCUCUAGCACAUGGUCUCAAACUGCAUUUAAAAAAAAUCUUUGUUGAUAUUAUGGCAAGAACAGCUCAAAUAAGCAAAGAAAAACAACACUCCAUCAUUACUUUAAGACAUGAAGGUCAGUCAAUCCAGAAAAUUUCAAGAGCUCUGAAAGUUUCUUCAAGUGCAGUCACAAAAAACAUCAAGUGCUAUGAUGAAACUGGCUCUCAUGAGGACCACCACAGGAAAGGAAGCCCCAGAGUUACCUCUGCUGCAGAGGAUCAGUUCAUUAGACUUACCAGCGACAGAAAUUGCAGCCCAAAUAAAUGCUUCACAGAGUUGAAGCAAUAGAUACAGCUCAACAUCAGCUGUUCAGAAGAGACUGCGUGAAUCAGGCCUUCAUGGUCAAAUUGCUGCAAAGAAACCACUACUAAAGGACACCAAUAAGAAGAAGAGACUUGCUUGGGCCAAGAAACAUGAGCAAUGGACAUUAGACUGGUGGAAAUCUGUCUUUCUUGGGGACCUGAAUGUUGACUGGUUUUCAUCAAGCUGUCUGCUCAAGAGGAAGCUUCUCAAUGUAACCAGUGCCUGUAAUCUGGUUCAGGUUAUUAAGCCUGAAUGCCAAGCGUCAAAUCUGGAGGAAACCUGGCGCCAUCCCUACGGUGAAGCAUGGUGGUGGCAGCAUCAUGCUGUGGGGAUAUUUUUCUGAGGCAGGGACUAGGAAACUAGUCAGGAUCGAGGGAAAGAUGAACGGAGCAAAGUACAGAGAGAUCCUUGAUGAAAACCUGCUCCAGAGUGCUCAGGACGAUCAGACUGGGGCGAAGGUUCACCUUCCAACAGGACAACAACCUUAAGUGUAACAGGGUUGGUUAUGUUUCCACUUGCCUCUAAAGAAAUGUGUAUUUAAUGUUCAAGCAUUCUUAUUGGUUAGUUCAACUCUGAUGACAAUAAGGUGUUUUGUGAUUGGCCCCGCUUGCAGAUAGCGGGAGAUCGCGAACGUCAGGUCUUCCCAGUAUGAAAAUGUGAUGCAAGGGAUUUUGCCAUCAAUACCGUUAAGCCCUGCACAACUAACAUGCUGUUUCCCAUUUAUCAACAGAAAUAAAUGAUGCUCAACUGGGACCACUGGCCGAAGUGAUUUAUGUUGAGAAAACACAAUGCAUGGAGAGUACAUAUACAUCUGUUACAUAAGCACACAGCCAAGACAAUGAAGGAGUGGCUUCGGGACAAGUUUCUGAAUGUCCUUGAGUGGCCCAGCCAGAGCCCAAACUUGAACCCAUUCUAACAUCUCUGGAGAGACCUGAAAAUAGUUGUGCAGCGAAGCUCCCCAUCCAACCUGGCAGAGCUUGAGAGGAUCUGCAGAGAAGAAUGGGAGAAACUCCCCAUAGACAGGUGUGCCAAGCUUGUAGCAUCAUACCCAAGAAGACUCAAGGCUGUACUCGCUGCCAAAGAUGCUUCAACAAAGCACUGAGAAAAGGGU
ensembl:lncRNA